AAAGCGCCGCCUGAAAGCCAGGUUUGGAAGGCUGUGCGUGUGUAUGGGAGAUAAGCGAUGCAAAAUUGGGGUGAUCCAUAAUUAAUGGCUGAAAGCGAAGCUGCUUUUUUCUUUUUUCCCGACCCUCAUCUUAUUCUGGAGCUAUGCCUGUUCCAGACCAGCCUUCAUCAGCCUCAGAGAAGACGAGUUCCCUGAGCCCUGGCUUAAACACCUCCAACGGGGAUGGCUCUGAAACAGAAACCACCUCUGCUAUCCUCGCCUCAGUCAAAGAACAGGAAUUACAGUUUGAAAGGCUGACCCGAGAGCUGGAGGCUGAACGGCAGAUCGUAGCCAGCCAGCUGGAGCGAUGCAAGCUUGGAUCCGAGACUGGCAGCAUGAGCAGCAUGAGUUCAGCAGAAGAGCAGUUUCAGUGGCAGUCACAAGAUGGUCAAAAAGAUAUCGAAGAUGAGCUUACAACAGGUCUCGAGCUGGUGGACUCCUGUAUUAGGUCACUACAGGAAUCAGGAAUACUUGACCCACAGGAUUAUUCUACAGGUGAAACUGGGUCCCGAGCCUCAUACAGCAGCCAGCAUGG
rnacentral:sRNA from 1 species